rnacentral:rRNA from 1 species
GACGAACGCUGGCGGCGCGCCUAACACAUGCAAGUCGAACGGAGUCAAGAGGAGCUUGCUUUUCUUGACUUAGUGGCGAACGGGUGAGUAACGCGUGAGUAACCUGCCCUGGAGUGGGGGACAACAGUUGGAAACGACUGCUAAUACCGCAUAAGCCCACGGAUCUGCAUGGAUCUGCGGGAAAAGGAUUUAUUCGCUCUAGGAUGGACUCGCGUCCAAUUAGCUAGUUGGUGAGGUAACGGCCCACCAAGGCGACGAUUGGUAGCCGGACAGAGAGGUUGAACGGCCACAUUGGGACUGAGACACGGCCCAGACUCCUACGGGAGGCAGCAGUGGGGGAUAUUGCACAAUGGGGGAAACCCUGAUGCAGCGACGCCGCGUGGAGGAAGAAGGUUUUCGGAUUGUAAACUCCUGUCGUUAGGGACGAUAAUGACGGUACCUAACAAGAAAGCACCAGCUAACUACGUG